rnacentral:misc_RNA from 1 species
CAACCCUCAAGCCCCGCUUGGUGAUGGGCCCCGCCCGCGGGCGGGCCCGAAACUCGCAGGCGCCUCCGUCCGGCCUCAAGCGUAGCAAAACCCUCGCUUGGGCGCCCGGGCGGCGGCCGCCCCGAAACGAAUCUAUCACAA